GCUCAACACCGAUCCAUUCCAUCACCUGCUCAACCUGCACAUUUAGAAAUACAUGCAGGGCUGAGUAUAAAAAUACUCAGUGACAUAAGCCGAAAAUACAACAUGCAUACAUAUAUAAAUUGAACUGCCAACAGUAACACACAGGGGUAUUCUUAAAUGACCUACGCUUACUAAAACAUUUCUUUCAUUUUCAUAAGAUUGGAUGCAUCCCAUUUUCCUUCAUAUGAUCCAUAUCUGUUCCUUUCUGUCACGCGCUGGGAAGGAGGCCUCCUUACCACGGACGCCAAGACCGGUCGCAAGCGACUCGCGGUCUCCAUGAGUGUACACGUUAACCCUAGCUAGCGACCUUUGCCUAGCAUAGGAUCCCAAUUGGAUUUCCUUUAAAGUUGGCGAACCAACACAGAUACGAUACAUAUAAAAACAUAAACAUUUUUGGCAGUCAAUCAUUUCAUAAACGUUUCGUUUUCAUAACAUUUUCAUUUUCAUAAAGGGCAUUAAACAUAUAAGCAUUUAAUAAGAACUGAAUUAACAGUUAAAAUCAUCUCAUGCAUAUAUUCGUAUAAGAGGCCUACGACACGCAGGGGAUCUCUAUAUACGUAUAGUAAAAGUAAUGCCCACCUGGAUAGGCAAAGCCUGAAGAUCAUAAUCACAUAACCUGUCUUGGGAAAGCAGCGCUAAUCCCCCUGGUCACAAAGCCUACAAGAAAUUCUAUUCUUAAUAGGUCUCCUUGAAUCUAAUCUUAAGUCAUGGUGUAGUGCUUAAUAUUCUAUGAUUCACUUAGCCGGGUUUUCAAAAUUUAAUGAAUAAAUAAUUGAAAACUAAAUUCUUGAGUUAAGGACACCAACAAUAUCCUUACUCGCUUUUCUUAAAAAUUGGAAUUAUAAUUAAAACCAAUUAAAUACUUUUAUUGCAAGUAAAAAUGCAAUUUCAUGUCAUGCUUAGCAUAUAAUAAGUAAUUUACUUAAAAUAUGCACAUAAUAAUAAUAUGAUAUUAUUAUGAAAAUUAUCCUUUAAUAAAUUAAUCAAACUAAUUAUAGUCAAAUUAAUUAAAUUAUGGAUUACCCAAAAUAAUUAAAUGUAGGGCUAGUUCUUAAAAUUUUACAGCCCAAGCAAUUAAAAUAAAGGCCCAGCUGAUAAAUUAAAUCAAAAGAAAAUCGGCCCAAAUAAGAAGCCCAACUAAAAAAAAAAAAAAAAAAAAAAAAAAAAAAAAAUCGGCCCAAUUGGCCCAAGCCUCAAAGCCCAACACCUAGCCUUCAAGCCCUUUUCUUCCCUACUCCCUCUCUCGGUCACACUCACAACACAAACGCAGACACAUCUAGCGGCUGCGCCGCCCAGCCUCCUUCUUCCUCGUUCUCUUUUCCGGCGUCGACGGAUAAGCCGCCACCGCCGCCUGGACUCCCUCUGAUCUCUCUCUAACUCACAACCAUGGUCAAGACUCACACAUCUCUCAAUCGGCGCCCCUCCCUUCUUCUUCGGCGAAGCGCCGCCUCCGUCACCGGCGAGAGCGCAGCCCCUCCGGAACCCUCGACUCUCAUCCCCGUCCUCUCUUUUUCGCUUUUCGCUCACUCCCACAUACUCAGCGCCGCAGCAGCAGCCGCCGGUAAAGCGACAGCCGCCGUUGCACAGCUCCCUCUCCCUCGCUCGUCUCUCGCCUAGCCCGCUCGGAAUGACAGCAGAGCCGUCGAGCACUCUCCCUAAAUCCCCAGAACUCGAGCUAUAACCCCUGCCUCCUGCAACCUCCGGCGAGCAGCGGCCAAAACCGCCACCACCGUCGUGCCCUAGCUACUGCCUCCCUCUUCCCUUUGACUUCCGACAGCCACCGCAAGAGCCAUGGCCACCGCCGCUCCAGACCCUAACCACCAGUCCCAGCCCUCAAGCUCUCUCACCGUGGCCGGGCGACAGCAGCUCCACUGCCGUGCCGUGGCCUCCCUCGGAACUCCGGCUGCCACGACCAGCAGCUGGUCGCCGCCGCCGACGCUCCUCCCUCUCCUCUGCUCAACCUUGGCCGAUGGCACCGCCAUCGCCGCCCAUUUCCCUUCUGUUCUUACUCAGACGGCAGCAACGAGCCACCGCCGACUCUACCCGAUUCUGACUCCGGCGAGCAGCAGCAAAGGGCCGCCGCUGCCACCGCCAUUACUCCCCCGCCAGACUCGACACUUACAACCACACAGUCCACACCCGACAAAGCUCAAAACUCAAGUUUGAAGCAUGCUUGUUUAUCAAUAUCUAUCUCAUUGCUUUAUUCUCAAUUGUAAAAACAUUUGAUACUUUUGCUUAAACACAUAUAUGGGAAGAUAUACAAAGAUAUAUGCAUAUGUAAAGUUCAUUUCUUUAUUCAGUCCAGUGGAUGGGUUGUUGUGGUGCCUUUGUCUAAAACAAGUCAUGAAAGAGGUACAUGAAAGUGUAAUCCGUAAUUUGAAACAACUUAGAAUUUGGAGAGUAAAAACCUUGAUCGAGAGGGAUGCUCAAUUGUGUGUGCUGAAAAUAGGUGAGGGAGAUGAGCUUGAUGUACAUUCUGAAAAAGCUUGUUCCUGAAGUUGAGUUUCCAUUCGUUUUUGCGAGGGAUUUGUGAGAAGUGGGUGGGAGAUUGAGUAGAAGUGGAAGGGGAUGGG
rnacentral:lncRNA from 1 species